UAUAAUGUAUUAUACAAAUAUAUAUAUAUAUAGGUAUGAUAUAUAUGUUAUAUAUUGGUAACGCGAACGUGUGCUAAACAGUGUACGAGAGUAAUAAUAAUGGACGCGUUUAUAAAAAAAGAGAGAAGCACGACGAGCUGACUACUGAAGAAAAAUGCGUGCGUCCUCACGCGGCGUCGGUUUCCGGCGAAAUACCCGAGAGCGCAGCGUCGUCAGGGGAACCCUACCGAGAAACAACGAACGAUGACGGUCAGAGAGUGGGAGUUACCGAAUGAGUCGAACCUCUGUCGAGAUAUUAUGUUAUUAGCGUUGUUUCUAUUACUAUAUAUAUACCCUACAUACACUUUUGCACACUGGGUACAUCUACGUGGAUGUGUAGUUGUGUAAGAGACAGCGGAUUCAUCGUAACGAAAGAGUGGGACCAUCGGGAGAGGGUGAUGGGGAAGAGGACAAGGGGAGAAGAAACGCCGAGCGAAGAAAAAGGACCAUCUGCGCAAGAAGUUAUGUCGGAGCGAGAUGAUAAUACCAAAAGUGACAGAAUGAGGAGCUUUAUUAAAGCAAGAGCAAGAUGACAAUGUUUAUAAUGUUUUAUAGGGGAAGAAGUAUGUGAUAGAUGUAUAUGUAAUCAAAGAAGGGGUAAAAAGACAAGAUAGGCCAAAGGCGAUAUAUAUGUAUACAUUCAUCGAGGUUGAAAAAAAUAAUUUUUUUUAAGCGGGAAGAUUUAUAAAUUUAAAUUGAAGGAUUUAAUAAUAAUUAUAAAAGGAUUUGUUAAUAAGAAUAAGGAAUUGUUUUUAAGAUUGUUUGUCAUUGUUGGUUGUUAGAUAUUUGGCUUUGUUUGAAAAAUGAAGAUGGCGCGCGUUUGAAACUCGAUAAAUCCCUGAUUGGCCAUAUUUUAUUUUAAUAUUUAAUAGGCAAGUCUUGAGUGGUGUGUGACUGUGGUAAAUAAUAUUAAUUGUUUAAGCGAGGGGUUCGAGAGUUCGUUGGAUGGAAAGAGCGUCUGGUUUGAGACUAUCUCGCUGGAUUCAAAUAAUGUCUACGUGUGUGGACUCGUAUAUGGUAUAGAUGUCGCGAUAGAGCUCCUGUACACGGCGCAUAUGUGUGAGUGAUAAAGGAUGAUGUUUUCAAAAUGUUUAAGAAUAUUCCCGUAAAUUCUCGAUGUUACUCGAAUAGAAAAAAAAAUAUGUAUCAUUACGACAAUCACAAUCAUGUAUGUCCUCACGUGUUACCGUUAUUAAA